rnacentral:rRNA from 1 species
CCUACGGGAGGCAGCAGUGGGGAAUAUUGCACAAUGGGGGAAACCCUGAUGCAGCGACGCCGCGUGAGUGAAGAAGUAUUUCGGUAUGUAAAGCUCUAUCAGCAGGGAAGAAAAUGACGGUACCUGUUUAAGAAGCCCCGGCUAACUACGUGCCAGCAGCCGCGGUUAUACGGAGGGGGCAAGCGUUAUCCGGAUUUACUGGGGGUAAAGGGAGCGUAGACGGCAGCACAAGUCUGGAGUGAAAUGCCGGGGCUUAACCCCGGAACUGCUUGGGACACUGGGCAGCUAGAGUGCAGGAGAGGGAAGGGGAAUUCCUAGUGUAGCGGUGAAAUGCGUAGAUAUUAGGAGGAACACCAGUGGCGAAGGCGGCUUACUGGACUGUAACUGACGUUGAGGCUCGAAAGCGUGGGGAGCAAACAGGAUUAGAUACCCCUGUAGUC